GGCUCCAUGGUCAAGCGGUUAAGACGUUGCCCUCUCAAGGCAAAGUCAGGGGUUCGAUUCCCCUUGGAGCUACCA
rnacentral:tRNA from 1 species